UACGUAGGGGGCUAGCGUUGUCCGGAUUUAUUGGGCGUAAAGAGCGUGUAGGCGGUCAGGUAGGUCGGUUGUGAAAACUCGAGGCUCAACCUUCAGAGGUCGACCGAAACCCCCUGGCUAGAGUCCGGGAGAGGAGAGUGGAAUUCCUGGUGUAGCGGUGAAAUGCGCAGAUAUCAGGAAGAACACCCGUGGCGAAAGCGGCUCUCUGGACCGGUACUGACGCUGAGACGCGAAAGCGUGGGGAGCGAACAGG
rnacentral:rRNA from 1 species